GUUCCGUAGGGUGAACCUGCGGAGGGAUCAUUACCGAGUUUACAACUCCCAAACCCAAUGUGAACGUUACCAAACUGUUGCCUCGGCGGGAUCUCUGCCCCGGGUGCGUCGCAGCCCCGGACCAAGGCGCCCGCCGGAGGACCAACCAAAACUCUUAUUGUAUACCCCCUCGCGGGUUUUUUUAUAAUCUGAGCCUUCUCGGCGCCUCUCGUAGGCGUUUCGAAAAUGAAUCAAAACUUUCAACAACGGAUCUCUUGGUUCUGGCAUCGAUGAAGAACGCAGCGAAAUGCGAUAAGUAAUGUGAAUUGCAGAAUUCAGUGAAUCAUCGAAUCUUUGAACGCACAUUGCGCCCGCCAGUAUUCUGGCGGGCAUGCCUGUCCGAGCGUCAUUUCAACCCUCGAACCCCUCCGGGGGGUCGGCGUUGGGGAUCGGCCCUGCCUUGGCGGUGGCCGUCUCCGAAAUACAGUGGCGGUCUCGCCGCAGCCUCUCCUGCGCAGUAGUUUGCACACUCGCAUCGGGAGCGCGGCGCGUCCACAGCCGUUAAACACCCAACUUCUGAAAUGUGACCUCGGAUCAGUAGAUGC
rnacentral:rRNA from 1 species